rnacentral:tRNA from 1 species
GGCCCGUUGGUCAAGCGGUUAAGACACCGCCCUUUCACGGCGGUAACACGGGUUCNCCUGCCUGUCACGCAGGAGGUCGCGGGUUCGAGUCCCGUCCGGACCGCCA